GACGUCGAAUAUCGACGUCAUAAACACCAAAGUUGACCGUGUUUAUGACGUCGAAUAUCGACGUCAUAAACACCAAAGUUGAUCGUGUUUAUGACGUCGAAUAUCGACGUC